rnacentral:lncRNA from 1 species
CAGGAAGGAAGCCGGCUCUGCAGAGCGAGUUUGGGCAGGGGUGAGUAGGAGACGAAGCACACCCCACAGCGUGGGCACAGGCCCCUGUGGGGGCCGCGGCACCGCAGCAGCAGGCGCAGUGGCUUCUGCCUGGUGCUGCCCGCUCCCUGGGCUGAGGCCAGGCCUAGGCCAGCCUAUCCAAUUGUGCAGUUGGGAGCUGUCCCGCGAGGGUGUCCCUGGAGCUUGCAAUUAGCAGGGCACGGCACUUUCCCCGCCAGCCUGCCGCGUUCUCUCCAGCUGCCUGGCUAUGAGGUUUCCAUCAGUGACUCACAUCUGGGUUGUCUAAAGGAGCGCAGGUCAUUAGGCUGUGAAGCACAUCACCCUCGCCGUGUGUCCGAGCUCGGUCUUCCCCUCAGAAGCCUGACGUCAGCGAGGCCCUUGCUCCAGUCCUCCGCAGCACGAGCCUGUGCUCCGGCUCAACAGUGGACUUGGAUAGGGAGCUAGUUUUGCAAAAAGAAGAGAGGGCGAGGAGCACUGCUACUCCUGGCUGUCUUAGCCACGCUGCCUGGCUUCCAAGGCUGGUGCUGCCAGCGGGGCCCCCUGCCCAGUGCACGAGGCACUGUGGACUCGGUCCCAGGUACGGCGGGAGCCAUGCCUCGCAGGAUACUCUGGGGCGAGUCUUGCUUGCGCUCCCAGCUGCACAGCCCUGGCCUGGUUGCUCUCCUUGCUGGUGUGUGAACAGGCCAGAGCCUUCCAAUCCUGGAGCAGCAGCUCGAGUUUCUGUGUUCACAGUGAGGCUUUCUGGCUGACCCAGACCUGCAUUGACUUAGGAGAUAUCCUUCCAAAAGAAAAUGUUCUAUUUGUCCAGCAGUAACACUGUUUACAGAGCUGCAAGCUUUACUCUUUGAUGAUAAGGAAAGUUGAGAAACACAGAUGUUUUUCACUGGCCAGUGGUACUGUCUGGGUCAGCCUCCAGCUAGCAUAAAUAAUCGAGGAGGAACACAAUGCUCUUUGAAAUAUGAAAAAUCUUUUAAGAAAUGUAUUAUUGAUGCUAUGAAAACCAAAGACGAGAUUCAGGAAUGGAAAAUAAAGAUGGUACCUGCCAUACAGGGUGUGGUGCUGUCCACUCUGGCCAACAGACAGACAAGACCUUACAGGGAAUGAACAGCUGGUCACUGGCGCGGCACUGCUCAUGGGUCGAAUGCAGUGCUUCCAGCUCUUUCCCCAAAUGGCCUGGUAGAGAACCCUGCUUCCCAUUCACCUCGCCUCAACACGGCUGCAGGGCUUCGCCCUCAGCAUUAAUCUGUGUGUAUUUGCUAGACCGGAUCGUAAACGAAUGCAGGGAAUCUAAAUGGCCCCACCUCCGACGUGGCCCGCUGUGCACUGGGCAUGGGUCUAGAUCCCGAGGGUGCCCAGGGCUGGCCCAGCAGCCAGCAGAGAAAUCCAGGUUGUGGUGGCUUCCAUAUGACAGUUCCGCCCCUGCCUGCCUGCAGCACUUUCCACCCCAGACGCCCGGUCAGCCUCCGUGCUUCCUCUGCUUCCUCUGCUCUGGCUGGGCCCCACCAUCUGCACCCCGAGUCUGGGCUGUGGUGGAGUCUUAGCAGACGUGGCGCGACUGCGGCGUGUUUUUCUGUGCAAGGUUCGCUCUGUUCACUUCUGAUGUCCAGUGUUGCUUUUUCCAGUCAUUGGCCUAAUGAGCCCUCACUUCCCGUGGACUAACUUCUGGGUGCUUCCAGGCGGCCCACGGGGACACCCUCCUGCCGGGAGAGACAUCUGUGCACUGUUCCUUUCAGCCCUGUGCUGCCCCUGGAUGAUUUUAGUGACGGUGUCACCUGCUGCCUGGGAGGGCAGAGCCGAUCCCCUGGUGUGUCCCACAGGAGGCAUUGGGCUUCUCCUUCUCACCUUUAUUUCGACAGAGACACACUGAAUCCCCAAAGUAAGUUUUGCUGAAGGUGGAAAUCUGAUAAGGUGGCAAUAAACACUGAGACUAGGAUCAUGAAACUGAGCCCUCUUAUACUCAGUCCGGCUUCCCCAUCUUCGCUUUCAACCCAUGGGGCGGCCUUUCCUCUCGCUCUGCUCUCGAGGUCUGUUUCUGCAAGUGCAGACCUCGGCGUCCUGGGACAGGAGCUGCACCCACUCCGACCCUCAGCGCUGGUCCCUGCUGCCCGAGGGCCUCCUCUCUCCAGACCUGGAUCUCGGUGUAGCCGUGAGUUACAGGGGAAGAGACGCCUCAGGGGCCCAUCCCAGCCCGGCCAGGCCUGUCUGAGGGAUUUGCCAGGCGCCAGGCCUUCUCCGAGUGCUGGUGAUAAAAAUUUAUCUCGUUCAGAAAAGAUCAUUCUUCGGCUAAGAAAAGCCAGAUCUUGCUUGCUCCGGGCAUGGCUGGACACAAGUGACGUCGUCCGAUCCUCUCUCAUUUGACAGAGCUUCCUGUUCCGUAUCCGUCUCCAUCUCUGCCCCUCCCUCUUUUUCUUCUUUUUUCUCCUUUAUUUCCCCUUCUACUGAGUCCAUCUGCAUGGAAAAUGCCUCACAUUUUGACAAAAAUGACCACCAGCAAUUUUGGAUUUAUGUUAAAUGACAGCAAUCUCAACUCAGAGAGGAAGAUGUGAUGUCUUCCCAAUGGUCCUAGGAAGGUCCCAAAGGACACUGGAUGAGCCUGGCUCCCCACCCGGCACUGAGGGUAGAGCAUGGGAUUGCCCAGGCCGGGUGACUCCCACCCCUGUGGACAUGGCUGUGGUACUGUGGGUGGCCUGACAGCUCUUGUGUUUGUGGAGCAACAAGUUCAAGGAGAGCAGGGUUGCAGGAAGGGCAGUGGUAGGAAGAGGUGAAGUGACCCAUGUUGGCCAGUGUCACUGAGGCAGGGCCCGCAGGAGCGAAGUGUCCUUCGCCACAUGACGGACGCCACGGGGAAUUUUAGUCAGAGGAGAGAUGUGAUCCUUUGUCCUCUCCUUCAAAGCCUGCCCUGGCCGGUGUGGGUGAGGCGUGGGGAGUCACAGAACACAAGAGGUGGAAGUCUCCAUUUCUAAGAACGAAUGGGUCUCUCCCUUGGCCCGCGUUCUGCUCGAGACUCAUGUGGGUGUCCACUGCGGCCUCACACAGGGCUCCUAGCAGCAGUGCUCAUACCAGCCAAGCACAGGAACAACUCGAACGCCCACCAGCUGCUGGCUGGAGACCAAGCUGUGUUCAUCCUCCAGCAACGCCUGUACAGCACAAGAGGGAAGACUCAGCAGUAACAAUGCUGGCGCCACACGAGGGUCACAUCAGCACAACAUGAAGGAGCCUGGGCGUGCAGGACCACAGCUGUGAGACCGACUCCAUCUGUGGCAUCCGGAGAGCGCAGAGCUGUGGGUGGAGACAGAAGGAAGCAGCGACCAAGAUAGCCAGGCC